ACUAGAUGGUGAGACCGGUAAGAUGUCUUGUCUUGUCAUGGCGUCAUGCGAAAAAUGUCGAAAAUUAAGUUUGCUUUUGUGCCGGACGUUAUUUUGUUUUUCGGGAGAAAUUUAGCCUCAAAAUGAUAUGUAUUGUCCAGGUUAAACCAUAGUCUAUGGUUUUACAUAUGGAUUAACUUUAUCCUGGGCAUUCAACCUCAAGUUGCUGAAUAUUUCUUAUUAAACUUCAUCUUUAUAUCCUGAAACUUGCUUGCUACUGUGAUCGAGUAGUGAAAUUCUAUCCUGGCUGCCAUUCUCUGUUUCAACCUCCCCGUAGGAAGCACACAACAAACUUCCCAUGGCAGAUAAAGAUAAUUUGCCUCUCAGAAAAAAUGCGAGGUAUCUGGUCGUCCAUCUAAGGAAAAUUAUCAGGCAUUGACGACACGUCCAACGCGGAUCAUCGUCUAUUAUUAUUGAUACGUCAUUUUCGAGCUCAUUUUCUCAGCUGCAAAAAUCGUCUUUUUAUCUGCUAUUCUCUUGCUGUGGACGUUCGUUGGCGUAACUAAACAGUUCGGGAACAAAAGGAGUGGAACAACCGAACAGGAAAGGACUUGGCGGCGCGAUGAUCGAAAACCAUCAACCCAUCUCACGUGGAUCAUCUAAUUUUGGUAUUGUUUUUUAUGUUAGUUAACCCGUUGGCUGCCACGCCUUUG